CGACGAUGACGGCCCCCCCGCGGUCGCCGCCCCCUCCUUCCCCGCAAUGCUCCGUCGAACCCUAGCACUCCAGAUCCACCUCACGCGCUCCCCCUCGUCUCCCACAUCGCCGUCGCCAACCAGUUCCCCUCACUUCUCCGUCCAGGCGCCGUAUCCAUCAAUCGAUCUCCCGAGCAAGAGACCUCCCUCCCCCGCCGUCAAGGGGCCUACACGAACCUCCACGAACCAAGGCCGGCGACGUCUACCGCGCGGCGGAUCCAACACGAGGACGACGAGCAAGGAGCGGGCUUCCUCACUCUACUCCUUCUCCGGCGACGACCUUCCCCUCCGUGCGCGCGUUCCAGCAGCGGGCUUCUCCUUCCGCUUGCUUCGUGUCGCGGAGCCGUGGAGGAAGACCCACGGACGCGGCGCCACUCCUGCCGCAAGCGGCCAUCGGCGGCGGCUGCUGCAUCGUAGGUCAGUCCCGCCUCGCUCGUGCCCUUCCGCCACUUCCUCCUCCCUGCCGCCGUCCUGGCCGGGCUCGCCUCCGCAUCGCCCUCCCUGUCUGUGUCUGACAGCGUAUUCUAGGCUAGCACCGGAUCGACAUCGACGGGGAGGAGGAGCUUGUUGCAGACCAAGAGGGGUAGACGGCAGCUUGGAUUUGACGGUGGAGGGCACGCACUGAAGAUACUGAAUUCACAUGCUUGUUAACUGAAUAUAGCCUCUUGUUCUGCAACCUGCUUGACGAACUCACACUGUUAGGAUUGACAAGGCUGGUGUGGAGUUGCUGGGCUUAAUAAAAUAGAGUUCAAUGGUGAAAUACCAAAGGAAAUUACAUAGCAUCGUUCAGUAGUACAUCAGUAAGAAACUUGGACAUCAGAUAGCUAUUAGUAGGAAACUUGGAUUCUGUAUGUCCAGAUAGCUAUCAUGCAAAUGUGCACCCUUAUUUCAAGCAUUUCCGGACGAAGGGAGUAUUUUUUAGAGAGUAUACUUCUCACCAUGUUCAGGACUUCCCAGCACCUUCAUCUGAUACGCAUCCUUUUAUUUUUGUCCGUGCUUAUCAGACUGCCCUAUGAGCUUCGAGACCCAUAACUAAGUAGUUGUUUUGCUUGUUUUUGAGCUACUACCACUUUGAGUUGUUGUAGAUGAUGAGUAGAUGAUCUGGUGUACAUUUUGUGGUCUGGAAACAAAAUUACUAAGCAAGGUGAAGCCCUGAGCUUGACUUGAUCGCUGUGCUCUGUUUAUCUAACAUGGUUGAAAUGAGCGCUGUAAAGUUUCAUGUCUAAGCUCAGUUUUUAUCCUAAGUCCUGAAGUAAUUAUUUUGGUUACAUCAUAGUUUGCUGAGAAUAUUAACUUGAACAUUGUAUGUAUGCCCUAAUGCAUGUACACACACGGUUCAGCAAAUAUCGAGCUGCAGCGAAAGAAUCUGGAGCUAGAGAACAUCAAGGAUAAGAUCAAGGAAGUUCUUGCCUUGUUGGCAACAUUGUGAGAUCAUGAGCAAGAAUGACAAGAAGGGAGGCUCGUCAACCACCUACCAGCACACCUAUCAUGACCGAUGAUGAGACGCUGAAGGGAGCUCGAUGAAGCUUGGACGUUGGUGUGGGCUCCGACGGUGGUGGUGGUGCUGGGCUGGUUGUGGCCUCAUGCGUGGUAGGGGGCUAGGCUGGCCCUUGACUUCAACAGUUUGACUACCUCCUUGGCUCCUUCCUCUGCACCAUAAAUCUCUAGUGAACUCCGGCCUUGGACAAGAUCAGUACGGUGCCGAUGGAGGCCCUCGCCGCCGGUGUCGAUGUGUCCAUGAUUGGGCAGUUUGGUGUUGGCUUCUACUCCGCCUACCUUGUUGCCGAGAGGGUCGUCGUCACCAUGAAGCACAACGACGACGGGCAGUACGUGUGGGAGUCCCAGGCCGGUGGCUCCUUCACCGUCACUCGUGAUACGUUUGGGAAGUAGCUCAGCAGGGGUACCAAGAUGGUCCUCUACCUCAAGGACGACUAGGUUAUUUGCAUCUUGAUUAGGAGAUGAUGGUGAUCAUCUUUUGUUGCGGGAACCUGUUAGAUAAAGUUUAUGUGAUUUGAACCUGCAAGAUACAUUUCUGUAUAAUGUUGUGUGAGAUAAAAGUUAUGUACUUGUGAACAUAGGAGAUAAGUUAUUGAUAUGUGUUGGCCUGUCUAAUGUUAUGCGAGAUAAAGUUGUGUGAGAAAGUUUUCUAUACUUGUGUUAUUACUGUGGGAAAGAAGUACUGUUACUAUA